CUUUUGUUUUUAUAUAAGGUCUGACCUGCCCAAUGAUUAUUAUUUAAUGGCCGCGGUAUUUUAACUGUGCUAAGGUAGCAUAAUCAUUUGUCUUUUAAUUGAAGGCUGGUAUGAAUGGUUGGACGAGGCAUAAUCUUUCUUUAAUUUAAUUUAUGAAUUUAAUUUUUUAGUUAAAAAGCUAAAAUUUAUUUGUUGGACGAGAAGACCCUAUAGAUCUUUAUAUUUAAUUUUAAUUAAUUAAUUUGGUUUAUUUAUUAGUUGAAUUGAUUUAAGUAUUUGGUUGGGGUGACUGUAGAAUUUAAUUAACUUCUAUUUUUGUUUUUUCAUUAAUUUAUGUAUUUUUGAUCCAUUAUUAGUGAUUAUAAGAUUAAGUUACCUUAGGGAUAACAGCGUAAUUUUUUUGGAGAGUUCAUAUCGAUAAGAAAGUUUGCGACCUCGAUGUUGGAUUAAAAUAAGUAGUAAGUGCAGC
rnacentral:rRNA from 1 species